GCUGCGUUUUCAAAACUGUCACGCGUUUUAUUUGCUCCUCGUUAUUUUGAAUAUGGCCGGUCGAAUUAAGAAUCGGCUCGAAAAGUACCGAUUUGGCGAUCACGUAGUGUUGAGUAGGAUAGUUCGCUAUUGUUGUGAGAGUUUGUCGUAUUCCCAUUGUGGUGCCGAAACUUGUCUUCAUUUUUGUGGGAUUUUCGGAUGAUUUUUGCGGCUGAAUGUCCGGGAGACGCAAACGGCAGUUAACAAAUUUGUCCCGAGAGUACUGGAAUUUGUAUAACUUGGGACCCACAUUACGGCUGCUUUUGCCCCUGUGAUCAUCAUCAAAGUUGCAACCGUUGCACUGGCCCUGGCAUUCGUAGGAAUCUAUCUUUAUCUGAACCGCAUCAUUCCGGGACUGGGUGAAGGACUGGCCGAUCCUGCUCCCACAACUCCCCAAACUCCGUCACAUCCGACGGAAACACCAUGAGAUCUGUGUGGCUUUCUUGGUGGGUUGUUAUGAUAGUGAUUGUAUGCGGAACGAUGGAGACCGAAGGACGAGAAAACGAAUCAAAGGAAAUGGCCAAAGUUUCGCUAACAAAAACUUCGAUUCUUUCAGCACUAUCGGCCUUCCAGCUGCUGCAAAUGAAGAUCGCUCUGGUCAGCCUGAUCCUGGCUGGGGUGUACGUAUUCUGGUAUAAGCUUUUUCCGGACGAACUAAUGAAGAUGGAGGACCCCAAUUACGACCCCAUGGGAUCCACAUUUCAAGGACUUCUUUAGAUCAUAAUAUGGAUUAUCAUCGCGGCUGAGUGACCACCAAUGGAAAGACCUACUCAAAUGGCUACGAGGCAUUAGUAAUUUAAAUAUGAUAAUAUGAUCAUUUGGUAACCUAAGUUUACUUUGUUACCCAGAAGAAUUAAAAUUGUAUAAAAGAUAACGAAGAUAUAAAUUGUACAUGUUAUACGAAUGUGACUACCUACAAAUGUUUGGUUGAUGACAUCAAUAGUUUUUUGAAUAAUUACCUUUUUCCAGAUUUUUUUUUUCUCCUAAUUCAGUAGAAGGCUGUUGAAAUAGACUUAUUAUAGAGAAUAAUUUAUAUUAAAUUUUAUUAUUUCGAAAUUAAAGUUAAAUUAUGUUAAUCGAAUGUUUUCA